AUUGAACGCUGGCGGCAGGCCUAACACAUGCAAGUCGAGCGGAUGAAGAGAGCUUGCUCUCUGAUUUAGCGGCGGACGGGUGAGUAAUGCCUAGGAAUCUGCCUGGUAGGGGGGGAUAACGUCCGGAAACGGGCGCUAAUACCGCAUACGUCCUACGGGAGAAAGCAGGGGACCUUCGGGCCUUGCGCUAUCAGAUGAGCCUAGGUCGGAUUAGCUAGUUGGUGAGGUAAUGGCUCACCAAGGCUACGAUCCGUAACUUGUCUGAGAGGAUGAUCAGUCACACUGGAACUGAGACACGGUCCAGACUCCUACGGGAGGCAGCAGUGGGGAAUGUUGGACAAUGGGCGAAAGCCUGAUCCAGCCAUGCCGCGUGUGUGAAGAAGGUCUUCGGAUUGUAAAGCACUUUAAGUUGGGAGGAAGGGCAGUAAGUUAAUACCUUGCUGUUCUGACGUUACCGACAGAAUAAGCACCGGCUAACUUCGUGCCAGCCGCCGCGGUAACAC
rnacentral:rRNA from 1 species